GAAGUUUCGAAGCCAGUCUCUUCAAUGGCCGCUGCAUCCUUCUAAUCACCGUUUCCCGAUUGAUCGGCGCUUCUCGCAAAAUUUGACCGCUGGGAUUGUAAGACCCGACCCUGGCCUGGAGCACACACUCGUGAGGUACCGAAGAAUUGGCGUUUUACGUGGCUGAGAGGCGAUUACGGUGAAAGACGGGCGAAAGAGCCAUUUUCGGAUCGUCUUGUGUUCUCCGCCGCUGUCGAUUUCUGGUUUUGCCGAUGCCUGGAAUGUUUGGUACAAAGUGGAUAGGCGGAGUUUCGGAUGUCUUGUUGGGGUUGGGAGCUAGAAGGUUGGUUUGGUAGAUUGGGAGUGGGAGCGAUUGAGCGCGAAACUGUAAUUCAUUCUGGGUCGGAUACCUGUCGGUUAGGCCAUGGGGUCCAUGGUGGAGGAGAGGAAUUUGGGCAAGGUUUUUGCUCCAAGUGAGACGCUCAAUUGGGUCAUGGUUGCUAUGAAAUUCUCGCAAAGGACAAUCAUUUUCAAGUAGAAGAGGUGUACAAGAGAGUUUGGUCUUUUUUCAAUUGUUGAGGAAUUUUUCUGCUGCGACGGGUUACCUUACUUAAACCAAACGUUAUUUAGCAGCUUGUCUUUCUCGUGGUGUUCAAUGGCAUCCUUGAAUACUCUACUUUGUUAUUAUAAUAUGUAGGUAAUUUUGACAUUUCCGUAUCCGUGGGCAUGCAAAAGCAAUGCGGGAUUUGCCUUCUUACUGGUGCAGUAAUAGUCUGUGGUUAUGCUGCUAGAUUAGCGCCGAGUCUUGUCUCAGAACUUCUUGAACGGUACGAAAAUAUGGUGAAUAUGGGUUGGAAAUGUUUGACAUGAUUUAUGUUCGGGUUUGUGUAUACACAUAUGCUUACAUGCUGGCAGAUUCGUGGCGAAGUGAGGGUUACGGUUUUGGUUCUGGCGAUUGCCUGCAGAGCAUGUUGGGCGUUUGACCGAAAUUGGUUGGAAAGGCGUGUGGUUAGGAUGGAGUGCAGAUUGGUUUGAAGAUGCUUUGCAAAAGGAACAGUGUCCUGCUCAUGUCGAGAAGCCAGAAAAGGAGGAUCCAGGUAUGUGAGGAUGCGUGAGAGUGGAAUGAUCAAGAGAAGGAUAAAUAGAGAGAUAGCAAAUUUGAAAAUCAUGGAGGGGGUUGUUCGAGCUGGCUUGCCCGAGUGGUCUAAGGGGGGCGACUUAAGAUCGCCUAUGCGUAGGCAUGCGUGGGUUCAAACCCCACAGCCAGCAGGCAUUACUGAGAACUUUUUGUUAGACGUCUUUCUUUGGCUGGGAAAAGAGACCUGGUCCUGCUUUUUUUUUUUCUUCGGAAGGGAACGCUCUCAAUUAGUUUUUAUCUCUUACAGUUGAAUUAUUCUGAAAGAGCUGUCAAGAACGUGUAUUCCAGAUCCAGAUUUGUUUGCAAAUCAACUGAUAUAGCAUACGUCGGGACAAAGUAUCAACUGAGGUCAAUUACUAAA